rnacentral:rRNA from 1 species
AUAACUUACCCUUAGGACUGGGAUAACUCUGGGAAACUGGGGAUAAUACCGGAUAUUAGGCUAUGCCUGGAAUGGUUUGCCUUUGAAACGUUCUUUUCGCCUAAGGAUAGAUCUGCGGCUGAUUAGGUCGUUGGUGGGGUAAUGGCCCACCAAGCCUAUGAUCGGUACGGGUUGUGAGAGCAAGAGCCCGGAGAUGGAACCUGAGACAAGGUUCCAGACCCUACGGGGUGCAGCAGGCGCGAAACCUCCACAAUGUACGAAAGUGCGAUGGGGGAAUCCCAAGUGUUAUUCUUAACAGAAUAGCUUUUCAUUAGUGUAAAAAGCUUUUAGAAUAAGAGCUGGGCAAGACCGGUGCCAGCCGCCGCGGUAACACCGGCAGCUCGAGUGGUAGCUGUUUUUAUUGGGCCUAAAGCGUUCGUAGCCGGUUUGAUUAGUCUUUGGUGAAAGCUUGUAGCUUAACUAUAAGAAUUGCUGGAGAUACUAUCAGACUUGAAGUCGGGAGAGGUUAGAGGUACUACCGGGGUAGGGGUGAAAUCCUAUAAUCCUGGGAGGACCACCUGUGGCGAAAGCGUCUAACUAGAACGAUCUUGACGGUGAGUAACGAAAGCCAGGGGCGCGAACCGGAUUAGAUACCCGGGUAGUCCUGGCCGUAAACGAUGUGGACUUGGUGUUGGAAUGGCUUCGAGUUGUUCCAGUGCCGAAGGGAAGCUGUUAAGUCCGCCGCCUGGGAAGUACGGUCGCAAGACUGAAACUUAA